GGAGCCGUGCCUGAAUUAAAGGACCACUUUGAUAGAGUGAACUAUGGGGGUUAAACUCCCCCCGCCUCCU
rnacentral:tRNA from 1 species